rnacentral:pre_miRNA from 13 species
AUGUUAUUUUCUGUUCUGGCUCCCCCUCUCUAAUCCUUGCUACCUGGGUGAGAGUGCUUUGUGAAUGCAGUGCACCUGGGCAAGGGUUCUGUGAGAGAGAGCACCAUCUUCACACGAGACAG